rnacentral:rRNA from 1 species
GUUUGAUCCUGGCUCAGAUUGAACGCUGGCGGCAUGCUUUACACAUGCAAGUCGAACGGUAACAGGGUGCUUGCACCGCUGACGAGUGGCGAACGGGUGAGUAAUAUAUCGGAACGUACCUAGUAAUGGGGGAUAACUAUCCGAAAGGAUAGCUAAUACCGCAUACGCCCUGAGGGGGAAAGAGGGGGAUCGCAAGACCUCUCGUUAUUAGAGCGGCCGAUAUCAGAUUAGCUAGUUGGUGAGGUAAAGGCUCACCAAGGCGACGAUCUGUAGCGGGUCUUAGAGGACGAUCCGCCACACUGGAACUGAGACACGGUCCAGACUCCUACGGGAGGCAGCAGUGGGGAAUCUUGGACAAUGGGCGCAAGCCUGAUCCAGCAAUGCCGCGUGCGUGAAGAAGGCCUUCGGGUUGUAAAGCGCUUUUGUUCGGGAGGAAAUCCUAGGGGCUAAUACCUCUUGGGGAUGACAGUACCGGAAGAAUAAGGACCGGCUAACUACGUGCCAGCAGCCGCGGUAAUACGUAGGGUCCAAGCGUUAAUCGGAAUUACUGGGCGUAAAGGGUGCGCAGGUGGUUGAUUAAGUGUGAUGUGAAAGCCCCGGGCUCAACCUGGGAAUUGCAUUGCAAACUGGUCAACUAGAGUAUGGCAGAGGGGGGUGGAAUUCCGCGUGUAGCAGUGAAAUGCGUAGAGAUGCGGAGGAACACCGAUGGCGAAGGCAACCCCCUGGGCUAAUACUGACACUCAUGCACGAAAGCGUGGGGAGCAAACAGGAUUAGAUACCCUGGUAGUCCACGCCCUAAACG